GUUGUGUACUCAGGUGAAUAAUAUGUUUGCCAUGUUACUCUGAGUGCAUAUCCACACCGGGCGAGCUUGAAAAAUAUGCCCGGCCACGGUGGGAUUCGAACCUACGACCUUUGGAAUACUAGCCCAAUGCUCUUCCAACUGAGCUACGCGGUCAGGACGGUUCGAGUAAGUGAUAUUACGGAACAGUAUCUAGUUCCUUCAAUACCAAUGUGUUCUUGUAAUAUGAAUUUUUUUUUUCUGUGCUGGUGUUGUGUACUCAGGUGAAUAAUAUGUUUGUGAUGUUACUCUGAGUGCAUAUCCACACCGGGCGAGCUUGAAAAAUAUGCCCGGCCACGG